rnacentral:lncRNA from 1 species
AACCUUAUGCUACCUUUGCCUUUUGCUGUGUUCUCCUUUCUCUUGCUGGGCAUUUGUGUUGAGUUGUGAUGAUAUUUAAGUUCAGUUUCCUAGUACUUACUUCUUCAAGGUUUUCCACUUGUUGAUUGCUAAAUAAAAAGUUUGUUAUACAUGUUCUUGUUGCAGGUGGUUCAGAUAUCAAAAAGUUCAACUACUUGUUUCAAUUCAGAAGCUUGUAUAUAAAGCUAAAAUAAACAUGUACAAUUGAAAAUGUGAUUUUUCAUGUAUUUGAGCUAUUGUUAAUUGUAUAAUAAAGGGUGUGUCUAUUUGUUUCUGGUGUGUGCUUUGGGUAUCACUUUGUGUGUCUAAUUCCUGGUCAUUAAUUAAUAAGUGGAGUAUUGUAUUGUAUGCAUUUUGUGAAUAGUACAAAGGACAAGUCCAUUUCCUUGGAGAAGAGAGUGUAUUUAUUUAAAGGCUAGAUACAAAUGAUGGGUGGAAGAUCAAGAAAUGAGGUGUGUUCAUAAGAGUUGAGAUUCUCUCCAAUAAUAGAAUGUGAGAUCUAGAUUGAUUUUUAUGAUUUAUAAUGUUUUUAAUUUAAAAUUUGUACUGUUAAACAAAUUUUAAGACCAUAUAUCAUAAUUUCCUCUAGUAUUGGACCCUGUUGGAGAGGAUCCAAUUUCCUUUAUAGGAGUGGAAACUAGAGCUUAGAUUUGCUCCUCCAAGUGCAUAUUGGUCUAUUAAUGAACAACAUGAUGAGGCUAAAGUUUCAUCAUUUCUUCAGCACUCACCAAUCCUACAUAACAUGCAAAAUAUGCCUUACAACCUUGUUGCUCUAAUGUGAUAUACUUGAAGAAUGCAAAUAAAAAAGGACUCUCACCCUUUCUUGCAAAUACAGCUAUGCCUAGUAGCUCUCAGAAAAGGUACUCCAACCUUUUUGAAACUGUGGUUCACACUUCACAUGACACUUAUGGCUUUGAAAUUUAUGGCAUUGUCAUUUCAAACUUAUUCACUUAUGGUUCACAUGACACUUAUUCUCUUGAAUUUUAUGGCAUUACUUAUUAGAGAUCUCCUUGCAGGUAACAUUCAUGGUCCUAUAGUUCAAUAAGUGUGCCCUCUUGUGGUCAAUUUAAUCACAUUUGUUUAAUAUUUGUUGUUGAUAAUAAUACAUCAUUAAUUGAGUAUGGAAUUUUGUUUCUUGAUUCCUAAUGCUAAAUAAUGAAAGUAUUAAAUGUUUUGAAAAUAUAAAUUCUAUAUUCUCAGGAAUCCAAGUUUAUUGUGUGGUUCUGGAAGGUACAUAUAUAUGUGGCAAAUCUUUAGAGCAAAAGCAAACUGAUGGUGAAUUCAGCCAUCACCAAGUCUCCAUUCCCAAAGUUUCAAGUAUGCAACCUACUUAUUGGACUCACUCUCACUUAUGAUUUUAGCUUCAAGUAAUCAUGUUUUACAUGUGUUGUUUUAUAUGAUCCGUUUACACUGAUAAAAUUUUACUAGUAUAUAUCAGGUAUUGUAUCACUUGCAUUAGUUCAUUCUGAUUGUCAAAUGUAAUUUGCAUCUCAGUUUUAUUACCCUUAAGGUCUGUUUGUGGAUUGAUUUUUGGAAAGGAAUGGAGGGAAUGGAAAGAAUGACAGCUACAAGAAUGACAGCUACAAAAACAAAAGAAAAGUAUUCAGCAAGGUUCAUCUUGCUAAUAUGGUAGUUUUUUUUUUCAUCAAAAGAGAUGACAUGCUUUGAUUUGGAGCCAAUUGUAUGGCACAUUUCAAAAGUUUGAAGUCAUUUUUAUUCAAUUUGUCUAGGUAGAAUUGAUCCGUAGUUAAGAUAAGCUUGUCCUAGUUUAUGAUUAUAUGAAAUAUGUUAUUGUAUUACUCAUACAUUAUCUAAUAUUAUAAUAGACAAUGUUAUAUAUUAAACUCAAAUUACUUGUUAUAAUGUAUACCAAAUAGAGAUACCUCAUGAACACUUGGACACAUAAGUGUGUCAUAGCUUGUAAUCUUUAUUGUUUAAUAAUAUUUUGGUAACGACUCAAUGAUCAGAGGACAUAAGUGCUC